ACAACCAGUACAUCUCCUACUCAAACAGAUCUAGAUCUCUGUGCUAGACUGCCACCACCAACAUAACAACCAGUACAUCUCCUACACUAACAGAAAUGUAGACAUAGGGUGGAUGUCACUGAGAGAUGUUUAACAUCGUAACAUGACAUGGAUUGAUGUGGGGUCCCCUUUAGGCCUCUUAUUUUGGGGGGCGCAAACUCCACAAAAGAGGUUAGCUAUCUAUUUAUUUAUGCUAUCUUUCAUGAGGCAAUAGCAAAAAGAAUGUGACAGCAGUAAAUUACCAGUCCUCUCUCCCCAUCUCAUAGAAUAAGUCUCUCUGAGUGAUCGGUGUAACUGAAAUGCCAGGAUUUUGACAGCUAUACGAAAUGAUCUCUCACAUACAAUAUGUGUCCAACCAGAAGCCAUGGAUUACAGGCAACAUCCGCACUGACCUAAAGGCUAGAGCUGUCACGUUCAAGGAAUGGGACACUAAUUGGACACUUAUAAGAAAUCUUGCUACGACUUCUGAAGAGCCAUCAAAGAGUCAAAACGACCAUGCCUCAGGACUACCUGGUAUGAUGACUCCUUGCUGUCCCCAGUCCACCUGGCCGUGCUGCUGCUCCAGUUUCAACUGUUCUGCCUGCGGCUAUGGAACCCUGACCUGUUCACCGGACGUGCUUGUUGCACCCUCGACAACUACUAUGAUUAUUAUUAUUUGACCAUGCUGGUCAUUUAUGAACAUUUUAACAUUUUAACAUUUUGACCAUGUUCUGUUAUAAUAUCCACCCUGCACAGCCAGAAGAGGACUGGCCACCCCUCAUAGCCUGGUUCCUCUCUAGGUUUCUUCCUAGGUUUUUGGCCUUUCUAGGGAGUUUUUCCUAGGGAGUUUUUCCUAGCCACCGUGCUUCUUUCACAUGCUUUGCUUGCUGUUUGGGGUUUU
rnacentral:lncRNA from 1 species